CUUUUAAACACAACUACGGCAGAACAUGUACUAAAAUUGGAACAUCACGGAGAAGAUUAGCCCCUGCGCAAGGAUGACAUGCAAAUUCAUGAAGCGUUCCGUAUUUUU